AACGAACGCUGGCGGCAUGCCUAACAUAUGCAAGUCGAACGAGACCUUCGGGUCUAGUGGCGCACGGGUGCGUAACGCGUGGGAACCUGCCCUUAGGUUCGGAAUAACUCCCCGAAAGGGGUUCUAAUACCGGAUAAUUUCUUCGGACCAAAGAUUUAUCGCCUUUGGAUGGGCCCGCGUUGGAUUAGCUAGUUGGUAGGGUAAAAGCCUACCAAGGCGACGAUCCAUAGCUGGUCUGAGAGGAUGAUCAGCCACACUGGGACUGAGACACGGCCCAGACUCCUACGGGAGGCAGCAGUGGGGAAGAUUGGACAAUGGGCGAAAGCCUGAUCCAGCAAUGCCGCGUGAGUGAUGAAGGCCUUAGGGUUGUAAAGCUCUUUUACCCGGGAUGAUAAUGACAGUACCGGGAGAAUAAGCUCCGGCUAACUCCGUG
rnacentral:rRNA from 1 species